GCAACAAGAAGAAGGAUGGCUUUGGCAUACCUAAUACACAUGCCCCUUCCCAAUCUUGUGGUAACUCCGAAUAAGUUUUCUUACCACAGAUCCAGUAUAAAUUUGCUGGGGCUUUCCAUCUAGAUGUAGCCGAUAAGUCAAACCAUACCUCCCUUAAAUGAGUGUAAUUGGCAAACAGAUUAGUAGGCUCCGAGACAUUUGAAGCUGACCACCAAGUAGUAUUUUUAGUAUUAACAUUAUAUGCUUUUUGUCCCAAGCAAGUUAGCUCACCUACAGACGUGUUAUACAUUGUCCCUUUCCUGGCUAUACAAACAUGACCUAUAAUGGAGGUUUUUA